rnacentral:lncRNA from 10 species
UGUGUGUGUGUGUAUGUAUGUAUGUAUGUCCCCUUACCCCAUUUCAUUCUUGGCCCAUGCUUGCUCUUCCUUUUUUACCACUGUUAUUUACUUAUUUCUAUAGCAUGAGUGAACGUCAUUUUGUAACAGUCAAGACCGUGACGUUCGGAUGCCCUCCCUCCCCUGGUAAUUUUAAGUGCAGUGAACCCUUUUUCCUUUGUCAUUUCCAUGUGUAACCAAAUAUGUCUAAAAUUCAGACACCUUCACUGGACCAUGCAUGUUUUUAAUCUGAAAGAUCAGUAGUACUCAGAGUGUUCGUGUAUUUUUUAAGUGACUGCAAUUUUUUUUUGCUUGUCUGAAAACUUAUUUUUCCCUUUUAUAAUUUUACAUUUUAUAGUGAAUCUUUCUAAGUAUAGAUUCUUUUAUUAGACAUGCAAAGAGAAUAAUCACACAACUAAGUUUUCCACAAACGUUUAUGUACACGCCAAUGUAUGCAUGAGACAUCUUUCAAUUAAAAAUGUUUAAACUGAUUUUUUUUUAAAUACCACUAUACCAAUGAGGAUAAGCUGAUUUUUUAACUUAGAUUUUAUAGCUCUAGUUUUGCAGUUUUGGAAAAUAGCAGGUUUUAAACAAAAUUAAUAUAUGAGCUAUUUAAAAUGGUCUUUUUAGAGUAAGUCUUACACAUAAUGGUCAUUUGCUACUUGGAUUUUCUUGUCCAAUUAAUAGUGACAUUUGACAUUGUAUUUAGUCUUUCCUUCCAUUCAUUAAACAAAUCUUACUGUGCAUGUAGGGAGUAUAGAAUGCUACAUUUAAUCUUACGAGAUCAUGCUGUUUACCAAAUUUUAUGAUGAAAUUAAUGCUUUCUUCAGUAGGCAGUCUUACAUUGUAGGCAGACUCCUGUCAAGUUUUGUCUUUCAAAAUGGUCCUCAUUAGCAAGUUACCAAAAGUAAAAAUAGGGCAAUAAAGUAACAGAAUUCCUUUUAAACCCAUAGUAAGCUCUUCUGGCAUGAAUUUAUAGCCCUCUUCUACCCUUCCAGCCAAAGGUCAUUCCAAAUGCUAUAUGUGGAAUUUGUCUGAAGGGUAAGGAGUCCAACAAGAAAGGAAAGGCUGAAUCACUUAUACACUGCUCCCAAUGUGAGAAUAGUGGCCAUCCUUCUUGCCUGGAUAUGACAAUGGAGCUUGUUUCUAUGAUUAAGACCUACCCAUGGCAGUGUAUGGAAUGUAAAACAUGCAUUAUAUGUGGACAACCCCACCAUGAAGAAGAAAUGAUGUUCUGUGAUAUGUGUGACAGAGGUUAUCAUACUUUUUGUGUGGGCCUUGGUGCUAUUCCAUCAGGUAAAGAUUAAAAAAAGAGCAAACAUUAUCUUUGGGUGAUGAGACUCUCCCAGCACUCCAAAAGGCUGCAUAAACGCUAUCAUGACAUGAAGAGCUUGUGGACUCUUAUGUGCAAAUAUGACCAAAGCUGUGAUUAUACAGGUCAUGUCCACCAGCUUUUCAUCCCUAGACAAUUCCAACUAAAGGAUAAGUGAAAGGCCAGAAUGCCCCUGCUAAGUUUUGGAAGUAUAGUUCUAUAGAAUGAGCUGGUGUUUUUCUACUGAAAUACUAAAGUAACAAAGCCUUUAUUUUUAUAUGUUAUCUAUUUAGAAACAACAAAAUGACUGCUACGUCUUUAUACAUUUCUAUAGAAAUCUAUUAUAGAUUUCUGUAAAUUGAGGCAGCAUGACAAUUCCAGAUAACUUUAGAACAGAGUUGAAUAAAUCACAGUAAUUGGACUAAAACAUUACACAGAUAAUUGUGUAAUUUUAGAACUUACUUGCAUAGUUAACACUGUAUAAUACUCUUAUAAAAUAUAUGCCUACAACGAAGUUUCCUGGGAAUCAUUAAGCAAGCAACAUAAUUAUUUUUCUGUAGUAAUUCAGAUCAAGUAUGUAGUACAAGUUAUCAUUGUGCUGUUAAAGUUUUAAAGUGCUGUCAGCAGAGUACACCAGGACUUGAAAGAAUGCUGUUAAGACACACAGCUGCCAGUGAGCAGGAGAGAAAAAGUCUUAAAAAAGCCAAAUUCCGGAAUGGGUUUUGACCUUUUGAAGUAUGAUAGUGUUUGAAUUUCAGGAAAGAUUGUACUUUCUUAAAGGUCCGUAUCACCGUAUGGCAUUGCAUCUCUCCCAUCCCCCUUGACUUGCAAUGAAUUUUGCAUGGCAUUGAUUACAUUGAUUAAGUUUACAUUUUUUCCUUAAAUUAAGGAACUCAUAGUGCCCUUCUCACCACAAAAUCCAGAGAGGAAUAUCAUUAGUGAUAGCUAAGGCAGAAGAGUUUAGAUGGGCUUAAAAUUCAGUCCUGUAAAGAUAAUUUUUCAUUCUAUAUUAACAAUUUUUUUCCUAGGUCGCUGGAUUUGUGACUGUUGUCAGCGGGCCCCCCCAACACCCAGGAAAGUGGGCAGAAGGGGGAAAAACAGCAAAGAGGGAUAAAAUAGUUUUUGACUCUAAUACUGUAUAUGCAUUUAAGUGGAAUAUUUGGUGCCAUUUACAAC